AACCAUCACCUUGUCCACCCCCAUCAUCAACACCAAAACCACCUCAUCAUCCCAAACCCCCAGCAGUACACCCACCACAUGUUCCAAAACCACAUCCACCUUAUGUUCCAAAACCACCAAUUGUUAAACCUCCAAUAGUACAUCCACCUUACGUACCAAAACCCCCAGUUGUGAAACCACCACCAUAUGUCCCUAAACCACCUGUUGUGAGACCACCCUAUGUUCCUAAACCACCAGUUGUACCUGUAACACCACCUUAUGUUCCUAAGCCACCAAUUGUUUUCCCACCACAUGUUCCUCUACCUCCAGUUGUACCAUCACCACCACCUUAUGUACCAACACCUCCAAUUGUGAAACCACCAAUUGUUUUUCCACCACAUGUUCCUCUACCUCCAGUUGUGCCUGUAACACCACCUUAUGUGCAACCACCACCUAUUGUAACUCCACCAACACCAACACCUCCAAUUGUGACACCACCAACACCACCUAGUGAAACACCUUGUCCUCCACCACCACUUGUACCUUAUCCACCACCACCAGCACAACAAACAUGUUCCAUUGAUGCUUUGAAGUUGGGUGCAUGUGUUGAUGUGCUUGGUGGACUCAUACAUAUUGGUAUAGGUGGAAGUG
rnacentral:lncRNA from 1 species